AAAGAUUUAGUAUAGAGAAGUAUAAUUUAUUGUCAAUAAUUAGGGUGAGUCUUUG
rnacentral:tRNA from 1 species